rnacentral:lncRNA from 1 species
UGCAUUUCACGUAUAAUUGAUCAAUGUCAUAUAAGUAUUUCUACAUAUACUUUGUAAGCGUCUUACUGGACCAACUUUUUUUUUUUCGAGAAUAAUUCUGACACUCGUAAGCUACUCACAAAAACUUAUACUCAGAAUUAAUUUUAGCUUUGGAAUCAAUUAUAGAAGAGCUUUGAAACAUGGAUUUAAAGUAAGAACUUUAUAGCUUGCCUGAGUACUACAGCCAUGAGAAAGGUCAGAGCUGGAACAGAGUUCUGCAUAGCAGCAGCAAAGGUAGGUGAAGUGUUAUCCAAACCCAAAAGGUAGAACCCUUCUUUCAAUGUUAUUCUGCAAGAAUCAAAAUUAAUACUUUUUAAGUUACACAAACAUUGCCAAUUAAUUGAUACAGUGGAGUAGCUUCAUGGAAAGAUCAUACAUACCCAACAAGUCCUAGAAGGAAAAAUUGGACAAGACAAUAUCUGGUUAUUGAUGGCCUGUCUUUCCUUGCAAAGAGGCAAACAAUAAGAUCCAAAAAAGAAAAAGAAAAAGGUAAGAUAGCUGAAACUGGGAACAUGACAGAAUUCAUUUAUAUAUGGUAUAGAACUGAAGUGCAUACUUCUCUGAAAAAUAAGCUAAGGGACCCAGAAGAAGAAGAGCAGUGAUGUUUCUAUAGACAGGAAAUACAAGCUUGCUGACGCCUGAAUCAAGUGCAAUCCUCACAAAUAUGUGGUUUCCUGCAUAACAAAAUUGCAAAAACGUUAAAGCUAAGUGCAGCUUAGCUCGUUCAGCUACCAUAUUCUCUUGUUCCCAGGUACUGAAUAGUGAAUACUGAUGGUUCAAUGCCAAAAAGAGAAGCAGGUACUCGGAGAUCAAUGUUUAGAACUGGUUGACCAGGGGCAAGAGGCAAAAACUGUCUGGAAGUGGAAGAUAAGAGAUCUAUAAUAAUUGCAAUCUUGUUUAGUUCUACCUUCUUGUAAGUGGUGACAAAAGAAAACAAAGUGCAACGUGUUUAUUAGUAAUCUAUAAAUAAUUUCUGUCGCUUCAUGGUAAAAAGUGUUAAUGGACACUCUAAUAAUCUACUGUUAGUAAUUGGAUUGCUUGCGUGCAUGUGAUUGUGAUGCGCCAUUGAAUAUUAGCUACACUCCUCAAUCCAAUCUUUCAUCCACUCCAUUUCACCCCAAAGUGAAGGAAGGGCAUUUGAAGUCAAAGCCUGACAUGUUGCAAUAGCUCAAUCACUCCAUGUUUACUGUCAAAAUAUUAAUAAAAAUCAAUCCAUGUUUUCCCAUAGAACACCAAUUUGGACCAACACGCCUGUAACCAACUAAUUAUAAUUAUACAGUUUUUUUCCCCUAGUUAUCCCAAAGCCGAUGGUCAUUAUACUAAUCUCCUCGAGGCAAAGCCUUCAAAGUUUAUUUUGAAUAUUUGAUUGGUUAACCAACCAUGUUAUGUUACUGGAUUUUGAUUCAUUCAGAAAAAUGAUGUUUCCUUCAAAGAUGCCUGAAUGUACUUAUUUUUGUCAACGAUUACUAAAAUCUUAAUUUGAAUGUCAUUUAGUGUUGCUCUGUUAAUAUUCCUUGCUGUCUUCAUUUACCUUAGUGGCUUACCAAGCCCUUCAUUAAAGAUAAAGUGUGUGAGUAGUGGUUAGCUCACUUCGUUCUUUAAGUAUGAUGUUUGAGAAUUUAUCCUUAUUUAUGGAAAUGAACACAUGUUGUGGUAAGGGGUUAUCGUUUUGUAACCAUGGGUUUACCAAAAAAACCAAGCCCCUCUUAUUCUUUCUUUUUUCACAAUAAUACUUAUUCACAAUCAUUACACCCACACCCGAAAAGAGAAAUAAGAGCAAAAGAGUGAUAAAUAUUACAAUGGGUAGAUAUGAAAUAAAAGUAUAAGUGAGGUGUGAAAGAAUAAAAAUACAAUAAUAUUUUUCUACAAGUUGUUUAAUUAUAAAAAAAUUAAGUAUAAAUUACAAAUUAUUGACCAAAAAAAAAUAGUAGAGGGAUGCAAGAAUUAGUGAAACAAAUCAUAUAACGUUGCUGCAACAAAUAAAUGUUGCAUUAGUUGGUCCCCCUUAAAGGACUUUUACAGUUUUACUAUCAUAUAAAUUCUUCAGCUCUAUCAUCUAAACAUUUUGUGUAGGAAUCAAUUGUUGCAUGAGAGAACCACUCCCAAUUUUUGCUUCCGGGUGAUUCUCAGACUCAAUGGGGACUUUCAUGUACUCUUUGGCAGACUUGGUUUCUUGAGUUCUUCCCCACACAACAAGGUAUAAGCCCGUCAUAAUUAAGAAAGCUCCAAUAAUCCUGCACCUCAAAAUUGAAAAUAUUUAGAUUUAUAUAGCAUAAGUCAAAGGCACUUUGGAUAACUAAUAAACAAAUCUCAGAUAAUCCAACUUUUAGUUUAGAACUCCCUCUAGGGGGAAGCAUAUUUUGCAAUUAGAAAAGUUUUAAGAUAACAAAAAGAAAUUGAAGCAGCUUGAAUCAAGACAUCCCACCCUCCCAAGAAGAAAUCUUCUCCAAAAACAAUGGAUGACAUCAAGGCUACAAGUAAUGUCUGUAAAGGAAGAUAAAUUGAAGCAAGCACUGGCCCUCCCUUGCCAAUAGCCCAUAUCUGUAAUGCUGCUGCCAGCCCUGAAAACACCAGACCCUGAUACAAACAAGUCUAUUUUGUUAUCAUCAUAUUUGUUAUACUUGGCUUCCUUAAACAUGUAAUUUGUAACAUGAAAACUAGUUACAUAAUAGAUCCGAACAGUUAAAAUGAGUUUUAUUGAUGUCAAGGUAAUCAAUUAUGAUCACUAAAUUAAGUAAGGAGGUAGAAGCAGCUCAUAGAGAAAACUGAUAUUAGUUGUGAACAUAGAGAGCAACAUGCUAGUGAAUAACCCAACUAAGUUUGAUUUACAAACCGAAUACAAAAUGCUGUAGAUCUCUUGACUAGAAUUGAGUUGCCAGGAUUUGGGAUCCUUCUCGAAAAAGGCUGCAAUUGUUAUAAACUGCACAAUACCAAAGAAGCAAGUAAACGCAGAAACUGUGAGAGGGGCUGAGUAGUUUUUCAGAACAAAUGCUUGCAUCACAAUCCAACCAGACCAACAUAAGCAGUGACCAAUAAGAUAAAUGCCACCCAUGUUCAUGUUUUUUGCUGUGACAUCCCGGAGCACAGACAAGAAUUGCUCCUGAUGCUGUGCUAAAUUUGGCGUAUAAAUCGUAGGCCCCUUGUAAAGGGUAAUGAUUGAAGCUCCUCCAACAGAAGCAAGGACUCCAAGGACCUUAGCCAGACCAUCUAUCCUAUUGAAGUGCACACUCUCAUAUCUGCAUUUCACAUGUAUAAUUGAACAAUGUUAUACAAGCAUUUCUACAAAUAUUUUAAUAUAUGGACCAACUUCUCUUUUAUCAGAAUAGCUCUGACACUCAAAAGCUACUCACGGAAGCUUAUUCUCAGAAUUAAUUUUAGCUGUAGAAUCAAUAGUGAAAGAAUUAUCAAACAUGCACUUAAAAGUAAGAACUUCAUAGCUUGCCUGAGUAUGACAGCCAUGAGAAAGGUCAAAGCUGGAACAGAGUUCUGCAUAGCAGAAGUGAAGGUAGGUGAAGUGUUAUCCAAACCCAAAAGGUACAAUCCUUCUUUCAAUGUUAUUCUGCAAGAAUCAAAAUUAGCAUUUAAGUUACACAUACAUUGUCAAUUUAUUGAUACAGUGGAGUAGCUUAAUGGAAAGAUGAUACAU